UCAACAGAGAGCAGCCUCAGCCUGGUGGCUGACUAUCUACAGGCAAAAAGGAAAUGUAGCCUAGAUAUCAAAAUAUAUUUCUAUGACACAGAGUCAAGCACACACAACUCAAUUGUCGGGAGUGCUCCAUUUCAGAUUCAAGCGUCAAUUAAGCACUGAAGAUAGGAGAAAACAUUAUGUGUGAAUAUAUUUUUGGAUCUAUUUCAAUAUGAGUUGAUGACUCUGUGUGAACUGAACAGAGCUGUCCAUGAACACUGAUGUCAUGGAAUCUAGAUGUUUACUCCUCAAGCUUUAUCUGUCCCCUAGGACAGUGGUCACCAAGCUUUUUGGAUCACGCACCCCCAGGUCUAGGGAAGCAAAAAAAAGAAGAAGAAGAAGAAGAGCUGCCGCCGAAGACGGAGCGGGUAGAGCCGAGCUGCCGCCGGCAUGCUGCCGAAGACGGAGCGGGGAGAGCCGAGCUGCCGCCGGCAUGCCGCCGAAGAAUCAAAGGUCCAGGAGCGCUGUUGCCACCGUGCUGACGGCGCUCCUCCUGCCGCAUACCCCCAGGGAUGGUCUUGCGCACCCCACUUUGGAGACUACUGCCCUGGGAAGCUAUACACCUAUAUUAGGAUGACAAGAUGUCCCGAUUUUAAAGGGACAGUCCUGAUCUGGGGGGCUUUUUCUUAUAUAGGCACCUAUUACCUCCCACCCCCGUCCCAAUUUUUCACACUUGUUAUCUGGUCACCCUAACCUACAUUCUGAAUAGUUCAGUGCUGUAGCCUCUGUAGCCCUAUAGACUGUUUUUCAUACAC